CACCACCAGUUCCCGUACGAUCACCGGAGUUAAGCAACGUCGAACCUCGUCAGUACCAAGAUGAGUAACUGCUUGGUAAUACCAGGUGCUGCAAG
rnacentral:rRNA from 1 species